rnacentral:rRNA from 1 species
UACGUAGGGGGCAAGCGUUGUCCGGAAUCAUUGGGCGUAAAGAGCGCGUAGGCGGCCCAGUAAGUCCGCUCUGAAAGUCAGGGGCUCAACCCCUGGAUGCGGGUGGAUACUGCUGGGCUAGAGUCCGGAAGAGGCGAGUGGAAUUCCUGGUGUAGCGGUGAAAUGCGCAGAUAUCAGGAGGAACACCGAUGGCGAAGGCAGCUCGCUGGGACGGUACUGACGCUGAGGCGCGAAAGCCAGGGGAGCGAACGGG